rnacentral:rRNA from 1 species
CGCUGGCGGCGUGCCUAACACAUGCAAGUCGAACGGAGUUAUUCCUUUCGGGGGAUAACUUAGUGGCGAACGGGUGAGUAACGCGUGAGGAACCUACCUCUCAGUGGGGGACAACAGUUGGAAACGACUGCUAAUACCGCAUAAUGUAGCGAGAUCGCAUGAUCAUGCUACCAAAGCUUUAUGUGCUGAGAGAUGGCCUCGCGUCUGAUUAGCUAGUUGGCGGGGUAACGGCCCACCAAGGCGACGAUCAGUAGCCGGACUGAGAGGUUGAACGGCCACAUUGGGACUGAGAUACGGCCCAGACUCCUACGGGAGGCAGCAGUGGGGAAUAUUGGGCAAUGGGGGAAACCCUGACCCAGCAACGCCGCGUGAAGGAAGAAGGCCUUCGGGUUGUAAACUUCUUUUACCAGGGACGAAGACGUGACGGUACCUGGAGAAAAAGCAACGGCUAACUACGUG